rnacentral:tRNA from 1 species
GGCGCUGUGGCUGAGCGGUAAAGCACUUGGCUUCUGAACCGGGUUUCCCGGGUUCGAAUCCAGGUGAUGACU